CAGCCGCCGCGGGAAUACGAAGGGUGCAAGCGUUAAUCGGAAUUACUGGGCGUAAAGCGUGCGUAGGCGGUGAGUUAAGUCUGCUGUGAAAGCCCUGGGCUCAACCUGGGAAUUGCAGUGGAUACUGGGUCACUAGAGUGUGGUAGAGGAUAGUGGAAUUUCCGGUGUAGCAGUGAAAUGCGUAGAGAUCGGAAGGAACAUCUGUGGCGAAGGCGACUAUCUGGGCCAACACUGACACUGAGGCACGAAAGCGUGGGGAGCAAACAGGAUUAGAUACCCCAGUAGUCCCUGUCUCUUAUAC
rnacentral:rRNA from 1 species